CAUUGGUAAGCUGGGACUGCCUGAUUGUAGACAUUUAAGUGAUGCCUGAGUGCUUUGUAAAGAGUGCCCCUCAGCCAGCUGCCCGGCUGGUCACCCCUUCAACCAGCUCUGGUACCAAGCACUGAAAGUGUUUUCACCCUGCCAUGUAAGUAGCAUGAUCUCCAUUCUCCCUGGUAAAGCUGAGGCCGAGGGCAGUGAGGCGAGCAGCCCAAGAGGCCCACAGCAGGUGAGUAAAUCCCACCUUUGAGCUGAGAUCUGAAGUCAGGUUUAUGCAUCUUAUUGCAAAGCCCAGAUCUUCUUUAGUUCCUCGCCCUCCCCCAGGAGAAAAUGGAAAGGAAAAGCCAUUGAGAGCAGGAGGGUGAUUCCUACGAGGAGGUACAGGAGGUGGAGGUUUGAAGCGGGAGCUGCAAUAAGCAGAGUCAGAGACCCGGUGGGUUGGCUAGGAGGCUGGGUGCCAGCAGUACUGCCACAUGGCCCAGGUUGGGUGAGGGGAGUAGGGUGGUGCCCGCUUGGGCUCCUGGAUGUGGGAGGGUAAAGCUGCCUGGUCCUGGAGAGGGGGGCUGUGUGUGUGAUGCUGGGGCUCCCUCCUCUAUAUGCAGCCACACCAGCAGUGCCCGUGGAAAGGGUGGCUGUGCCUGGAGUCUGGCAGAAAGGCUGGGGCCCAAGAGGAGUCCUUGCAGGAGAAAUCUCUCCUUCUGCCCUAGAUUGGAGGCUGCAGAAAGUCAUUUGGACCAAGUGGGGGCAGGAUGCCGAGGGCAGAGGAGCUGGCUCCCGUUGGUCCCCUUUCUUUCCUCAUCUCCCUUCCCUCUGAACCCCAGUCCAGGGCCCAGGAGGGCCUGGCAGCCUGUUCCUGGCCUCCCCAGCAGAGGGCUCCAGAGCAGAGCUCAGGAUGGCCAUGGGGAGGGAGCAGCAGAAAGCAUGGACAGUCCGCCCUGCUCACAGGUGUCUAGGUCACAGGUGCUCUUUACUGGUGCACAGGUGUGUCUGUCUAUGUGUGCACCCAUGUGGGUGUGUGCAAGUGUGUACAGUAGACAUAUGUUGUUGUGUGGGCAUGUCAGUGUCGGCACGCGGGCACGACUGCCUGCCUGUGUGUUGGGUGGUAUCUAUUCACAUGUGUUUGCUCAUUUUCUCUUUGCACACGCCAGCACUACUGUGGUCCUUGUGCAUAGUUGUGUGCAUGCGGGUGUCUGUAUGCUUUGUGCAUGGGUGUCUCUGGUUGGCCUUGUGCAGAGAAAGCCGAAAAAUUACUGACAAGGUGUGCUGUGGAAUCUCAUCAUUCUCGAGGACAAGGAUGAGGGACCCCCUGCUCCUUCUGUGCCAUCUGACAUUCACACCCUGACCCAGCCGCCUGACUCCUGCCCUCAAUCAGCACAGCCCCUGAAUUUGUUUGUUAAAACCUCAUUUACAGCAGGUGUAGUUGACAUCCAGUUCCCAGGAAGCAAGUACUUCCAGAGCUGUGUGUGUGUGUGUUCUGGUUCCCUCAUUUGCAGCUCGAAAAUGUUUCUUUUCCAGCAUUUCCAUUGCGGCUCAGAGAGUUAAGAACCCAACUAGUAUCCAUGAAGAUGUGAGUUCGAUCCCUGCCCUUGCUCAUUGGGUUAAGGAUCCGGUGUUGCUACAAGCUGCAGCAUAGAUCACAGAGGAAGCUCGGAUAUGGCUUUGCUGUGACCGUGCUAUAGGCCAGCAGCUGCAGCUUCCAUUCAGCCCCUAGCCUGGGAACCUCCAUAUGGUGCAGGUGCAGUCCUGAAAAGCAGAAACAGAAAAUGCUCUUCUUGUUGGGAAUGAGGAGCAGAGCCCCAGAGAAUGCGGGGAAGGUAGAGGGCUGCAGUGGAGAAACAGCAGGCUGGUAGCUGGUUCAUCCAUAGCUGAAGGGAGGCAGCGGCCAUGGGGGCAAGGUCUUGGCCCAGAAGUCUGGGGGGCCCUGGACGGGGCCCAGCUCUGCUACCAGCUGGAGGCCCUGGCUGAUGGGAAGCAGCCCCUCCUGUGGUGGUCUGUGCUGCUGUUCAGCCAGGGCCAUUGGGGAGAACAAAUGGGGUACUCCCCUCACCCUGUGUCGUGUGGAAAAGGCACUUGUCGAAGGGAGUGCGGUCGAGGAUGGCGCCCACCUCAGGAUGGGAGGCUGUAUUGGUUUCCUGUCGCUCCUGUGACAGCUCACCACGAACUUAGUGGUUUAAAAUAAUCCGCAUUUAUUUUACAAUCCUGGGGACCACAAGUCCAAAAUCAGCCUCACCAAGCUAAAGUCAAGGGAUUGGCAGUGCUGUGUGCCUUUUGGAGGCUCUAGGGGAAAUGGGUCUCCUUGCCUUUUCCAGAUUCUAGAAGCUGCCUGCAUCCCUUGGCUUGGGGCCCCUUCCUCCUUCGUGCUGUCACAUCGCCUUUCUAUUGCUUUGGCCUCUUGCCUCCCUCUGGGAAGGACCCUGGUGAUUACCCUGGACCCUCCCAGAUAAUCCAGGACAGUCUCCUCAUCUCAAGCUCCUUGACAUGAUCACAUCUGCCAAGUCCUUUUGGCUGUGAGGUUAACAUUUGUUCACAGGUUCUGGGGAGUAGAUAUGUGGGCCUCUUUUGGGGCCACUGUUUUGUCUACUACCUAGAGAAAUCACAGACAAGCUGGCCAAAGUGGGUAACAGUCUUUUUAAAUUUUUUAUUGGAAUAUGGGCUGACUUACAAAAUUGUGUUAAUUUCAGGUGUACGACAAAGUAAAUCAAUUACACAUAUACAUAUAUCCGUUCCUUUUGACAUUCCUUUUUUUUUUCUCUUCUUUUUUAGGGCAGCCCCUGGGGCAUAUGGACGUGCCCAGGUUACUGGUUGAAUCAGAGCUAUAGCUGCUGGCCUACACCAUAACCAUAGCAACGUGGGAUCCGAGCUGCCUCUGUGGCAUACACCGCAGCUUGUGGCCACGCAGGAUCCUUAACCUGCUGAGCAAGGCGCAGGGAUGGAACCUGUGUCCUCAUGGAUACUAUUUGGGCUCUUAACCCUCUGUGCCACAACGGGAACUCCCCCUUUGGAUAUUCUUGAUCCUCCUGCGGUUUCACUGAGGCACCAGUGGGACCCUCACUCCUGCCGAGUAGCCAUCUGGUCCUGACGUUUCGUCUGGCGGAUUGAGCCCCAGGAACCAGGGUGCGCUGGCUGCCUAAAGGGCCUUUCCUUUCUGCCUGCCUUCCCGGCAGCCCCUGGCCAGGCACCAGCUAUGACCUCAGCCCACACUGACCCUUCGGUUCCCCCCUCACCCCCUCCCAGCCUGCUCCAGAUCCAGCCUCCGGCCCUGUCCAUGCUCCCAGAACACCCCGCGUGACUCGGUUCCUGUUCUGUCACAGCCCCUACUCCCUGCCCCAGAGGCACCCUGGGCUCCAGGCUGCCCACCCGCCACCCAGCCCUCUCCACACGUGUGAAAACCACACGCAUGGGCGCUCUGCAGCUCCCCGCAGGAAAGCCCAGCCGCAAGACCCAGAGCAGAGGAGAGGGGACACACACAAGCGUGCAGGCCAGUGCCAGGGUUUGGGGAUGGGGGGCGGGGAUCCAAUGGAACGACGGGCCUCCCGGAUGCUGUAUCAAGCCAAACUCCCCAGCAGAGUCAGCACCACAUCUGGAAUUAAGCUGGAAAUUCCAAUUGCUCUCUGCUGCUAAAAAAAAAAUGUGUCAAAUCUUCCCAGAGAUUUUGUGGAAGUGGGAAGCGCUGCGGGGCGGUGGAGGGGAGGGGGGAGCGCUCCCUCCACAGGACCCGUGAGCUUUGGGGAAAUCCAGAUGUCACAAUGUGUCCACAGCCCUCUGGCUGAUGGCUCCCCCAGCCUCCCUCAUCUGUGCUCCCUGCCCCGUGAAAAUUAAAGACGCCUGGAGCAGGGGAGGGUCUGUUUCGCUUCUCCCAAGGACCCACACGUCCGUUCAUGUAAGUGCAUGUGAGACUGUGACUUUUUUUGAUAGGGAUUGAGUUAUUUUUUCCUGGAGAGGAAAACGUUGACAUGCCUUUGGUGGAUCGUCCGCCCAGAAAUUUCCAAUGCAUGAAGAAGCUGUGCUCUUCCCUUUGCUUUAACACACACACACACACACACACACACACACACACACACACGCACACACCUUCCAAAGGCCCAGAACUCACUGUGUGGUCUGAGCCCCUUCAGGGCCUCGCUGCACUGCUAGCCCAGCCCCAACCAGUGCGGGAUGGGGAUUCCAUAGAGCUGGGUCUGCAGGGCCAGGGAAGCUUGGACCACUUGCUUGUUCUCAAUCUCUAGGCAAGUGGAUGAAUUUCCUGUUACUGCUGUAACAAAUCACCACAAGCUGAGUGACUUCAACAACACAAAUAUAUUCUCUUACAAUUCUGGAAGUCGGAAGUCCAAAAUCAGCCUCGCUGGGCUAACGUCAAAGCAUCUCCAGGGGAAAAUCCAUUUCCUUGUCUUUUUUCACAUCUAGAGGCUACCUCUAUUCCUUGGCUUAUGGCCCCUCCCUUCUAUAGCAAGCAUCCUUCUCGGGUCCUUACCCAGAACAUCAGAGGGUCUCUCUCCCCAAGCCUCUUCCCGUUCUGAUACUAACAUCCUAGGUCUCUGGGACCUUGGGGGAAAUGGGCCCGGCCCCUCCCCUCUCUCCUCUUUGCUGAGUCUCUGGGGCUCGUAUUGUCUCUUUUUGUCCUCUUCCUCCAGCCCAGGAGUCUGACAUCCCAGGCUGGGGCUUUUGCCCCUCAGUUUCAUUCUCAACAAGUGAAGAAUUCAUCCCAGCCCCAACUUAGUUUAGGAUCUGAAUUAUACUUUUCUCCAAGGCAGGGCUCUCGACUGCCCAGCUGUCAUGCGGGGGCCAAGGAUCCUGAUCCCGAUUCAAGGAUGUUGGGUGGGUAUCCAAGACGUCCAAAUGGAGGGGCAGGGAUGCGGGUACACUUCCUGGCAGUGGUCCUUACCAGCCUGACCUCCCAGAGCUCAGGCCACCCGGUCACAGCGUGACAUUGAAAGUCCCUCGCCAGGGAGAGAGGGAUGAGGCUGACCCAGCCUGGGUAGUCCCAUGGGACCCAAUAGUACAGACUGGUGUCCUUGGUGGCCUCCCGAGUAAAGAGCCUCUUUGAGCCAGACCUUCCUUCUUCCUUUUCUUUCUUCCUUUCCCUCCCUUCCUUUUUGUCUGACCCAGUGCCUGGUCCUUUGUCAGGCACAGGAUAAGAGCUGGAAGGGCUCGGUCCCCCAGCCUGUGAGAAGCACUGCCCAUAGCCCCUCCCAAGCAGUGAGAGUUCCCAAGUGUGGAAGCCAAAUGGGGCUGCCCGAGGUGCCAGGAGGGCUUCCUGGGGCUGGUGGUGCUGCAUUUUCCACCCUCAAACACACUAAAACACUGAGCCACCCGCACACGCCAUGUGAGGGGAGGCAGCCACGCUUCGGCUCGUGCUCUUCCCACUGCUCGACAUCUUUCCACUUGCCUCUCCUGGAUAGCUCUGGCUCAGGUGCCACCUCUUCCAGGAAGCCUUCCCUGAAGUCUGGGGAGGUUGAAUCUCCUCCUUGAUUCUCCUAGCGCCCCACAGAGAGGCUCCUCGUGUCCAAGCCAGAAACUGAUUUUAUGCUGCAGUCAAGAGAAAGCCUCGGCCUUGGAGGGGCCUAGAGUGGGAGGGGGACAGUGUCUGGUGAAAUGGCACUGGGCUCUGCUGAGCCUGCUUUUUUUUGAGCCGAUGGGCCCUUACAGAUCCCCCAGUCCAUCCUCCUUUCCGGAUAGUGGUGCUGGGACCAGAAAACCCUUCUCCUGGUUUUAGCCCUCUGUCCUUCCCAUGACCCAUCCCAUCUUGAUGGGGGCUGUGUCCUGACCACCUCAGUGUCCGUGAGUGCUUGGUGAACCAACAUGCGGGGGUGCUCAUGGGGGAACUGAACCCGCCAGAGACAAGUGUUUCGGAGGCACAUGGCAUUGAUGUCACCAUUUGGUCACAUGCUGUCCUAACUCUCAAAGUGGAGCCUAGGUUUCACAUUAUCCCUUUAUGGCAGAGAUGCUAAGAGAAAGAUGGGUCUGAGUUCCAGCUCGGCCUCUUCUGAGCUGUGUGACCUCUUUGAGAAACAUCUGGAUCCGAGAUCCAGCUUGGCCUCUUCUGAGCUAUGUGACCUCUUUGAGCUCCCACAUCCUCAUCAGCAAAACGGGGACCCGCGCUGGACAGACCUUUGUUUUGAUGAUUAAAUAAGAUGACAUAUGCCAAGUUCCCAUUGUGGCACAGCGGAAAUGAAGCUGACUAGUGACCAUGGGGUUGCAGGUUUGAUCCCUGGCCUUGCUCAGUGGGUUGAGGAUCUGGCGUUGCCGUGAGCUUUGAUGUAGGUUGCAGACGUGGCUAGGAGCCAGUGUGGCUGUGGCUGUGGUGUAGGCCUGCAGCUGUAGCUCUGAUUCGACUCCUAGCCUUGGAACUUCAUGUGCCAAGGGUAUGGCUGGCCCUAAAAAGCAGUAAAUAAAUAAAUAAGAUAAUGUAUGAGAAGUCAGCAAUUCUCUGGCACAUAGAUAUGCAUCCGAAUAGUGGCUAAAUAUUCUCCUUCUUCACAAUUUCAUUCUAGGGGCUCAACCUUCUGGAAUCAGGAAAAUUGUCUGAUUAAGUGGAUUCAUGCUGAUUCCAGCCUCAGCUCUAUGCAAAGGGAUUCUGAUUCCCUAAGUCUGGGAAGAGUUCCCAAACUCAUUAUUUUAUUUGUCUUUAUUUUUAAAUAAACAUCCUGGGUGAUCCUGAUGCUUAGCCAGGUUUAGAAGCCACUGGAAUAAGUGAUGAUGGGGUUUUAUGUUCAUAAAGACCAACUUGUGUCCUCAAAAGUAGGGUUUUAGCUUAGAGGUACCUUCCCACGGCCCCUGGAACCACAGCAGGUGGGACCCUCUCUCUCCCCAUGGGGGGAGGGGGUGGCAUCCCUCCAGAGCAGCCCCACAGGAAGGGAUGGGGGCCGCGCCAGCUGUGUCCCCUCCUGCAGCUGUUUCAGUGCCAUAGCCCCGUGGAAACCACUGUGAAAUUCAUUCUCCACAUCUCCCGAAGUUGGGCCAGGUGGCUACUGGCUGGGGCAGCUGAUCCCACCCGACAAGAGGCCUGCGAGCCAGGGAAAUACAGCCACCCGCCUCCACUCAGCACAGGGCCCCCCGUUCCACCCUCCCGGGCCAGUAAGUGCUUUUUGUCCCAGAUCAACUCAAAUCCUCCCCCGGGAAAACUUUUCUUUCCUCAGGAAGCACCCAGCUCUUGCCUUGCUGCAGGUUCUCUCAGGGCUGUCUGGCUCUGGAACCUGGUCAGGACUGGAUCCCGCCUCCCAGGGACCCCUGAGGCCUGGGGCUGAGUUGGCUGCUCUGGGAAAAUGCAAGCGGAGGAGGCGGGAAGCUGCAGAUUCCACUCAUCCGCCCGAGAAUGGCAGCGGGCCGGAGCUCUCCCUGCAGCAGGGAGCUGAGCUUUUUAUGAGCUGCACGGAGCUACAGAAGCAGGGAUUUGGCUGAGGAAGAAGGGAAAGGCCCAGAAUGAGAGCACUGUCCUCCGUCAAGGACACAGGACUGUUGACGUGGGAGAGAUGGGCGCAGCCUCUGGAUCAAGUCCACGGGGAGGAGGAAAUGGUUUUCACUGAAAAACAAAGUUGAAAAACAGUUUACUGAAGGGACAAGAAGGAGGAAAGGGGGUGGGGAACCACCUCAAACUGUCUGAUCAUCAAAAUCACCUAGUCAGUUAAAAAUACAGAUUCCAGUCCUCGUUCCAAGUCAAUAAAAUAUUAUUCUUGGU
rnacentral:lncRNA from 1 species